UACGAAGGGGGCUAGCGUUGCUCGGAAUCACUGGGCGUAAAGCGCACGUAGGCGGAUUGCUAAGUCAGGGGUGAAAUCCUGGAGCUCAACUCCAGAACUGCCUUUGAUACUGGCGACCUUGAGUCCGGGAGAGGUGAGUGGAACUGCGAGUGUAGAGGUGAAAUUCGUAGAUAUCAAGCGGAACACCGGUGGCGAAGGCGGCCUUCUGGACAGUGACUGACGCUGAGACGCGAAAGCGUGGGGAGCAAACAGG
rnacentral:rRNA from 1 species